rnacentral:rRNA from 1 species
AUGGAGGAGCCGCUCUCAGAUCGAGUUUGGGCUGGCAAGACUGCAGGGCGACGGCCCCAGGCGGGGGUGCAAGGAUCCGGUCGGUGUGCUGUUGCUGCCGCCGACGGACAGAAGAGGCGCCCUCGGCCGGGUCGAAGUGGCAGCGCUGUCGGUGAUGCCAAGGGCAAGGAAAUGGGCAAGCGAGACCAGAGAGGGAAGGAACAGGGCGUGGCCUCACACACUGGCUCGUCGUCAGCUUCACCGUUACUUGCAGCUGAAGAAGACAGAUACCAGCAGCCGAUGGCGCCGUCCCAGCUGGUGUUGCUUACCACAGGCUCUGAGGUAUGGUAG